UCUAUUCAUCAAUUCAAAAACUGGAAUAAUGGUUCGCCUUUGGAGUUAAUCAUGUGUGUAUUCUGGUUUUCUAUCAGAGUUUCGACUUUUCUAGUGACUAGUGAGUUUACCUUGAAUAAAUUAGAAUGCUAAAAACAAGUGCUUGCUUGAAAAGCUGAUUAUAAAAGAUAGAAGAUGAUUUCGGUUCUAUUCAUCAAUUCAAAAACUGGAAUAAUGGUUCGCCUUUGGAGUUAAUCAUGUGUGUAUUCUGGUUUUCUAUCAGAGUUUCGACUUUUCUAGUGACUAGUGAGUUUACCUUGAAUAAAUCAGAGUGCUCAAAACAAGCGUUUGCUUGAAUCGUUGGGAUGGAAUAAUAGAAAUGUACUUCGCUUCAAUUUACAGGUUCAGGAACUGGAAUAAUGGUUGAAAGCGACAUUUCGGGGCAUUCGUAUCCCUGCGCGAGUGAUGAAAUUCGUGAACGUAAACUUUGCCAUUUAGCAAUUCGAUGGGGUAAUAACAAUAGGGCGUUGUCAAGCAGCUUCUAAGACACGAAAGUCUUCCGGUUCUUGGGUAAUAGGACUGCAAAACUGAAACUUAGAGAAAUUGAUGGAAUGGCAAUACCAGGAGUGGAGCUUGCAGCUUAAUUUGACUCAAUACGGUCAAACUCAUCUGGCCCGGAUGCGGCAAAGAUUGACAGAUUAAGGUUGGGCAACUAAACCCGCAUUUGGACACUAAAGUUGGGCAACUCGACCGACUUUACGUUUUAAUACUAUAGUGUUGCUCGAACUAGACGAUUUUAGUUAUCAUUCCAAUGUGUAAUCUUAAGAAUUGUCCACCUUCUGUCCUGAAUAUUGCGCAAGUAAGCCAGACAUAGGCCAUUAAAAUUGAUCAAUC
rnacentral:ncRNA from 1 species